UACGGAGGGGGCUAGCGUUGUUCGGAAUUACUGGGCGUAAAGCGCACGUAGGCGGCUUUGCAAGUUAGAGGUGAAAGCCCGGGGCUCAACUCCGGAAUUGCCUUUAAAACUGCAUCGCUAGAAUUGUGGAGAGGUAAGUGGAAUUCCGAGUGUAGAGGUGAAAUUCGUAGAUAUUCGGAAGAACACCAGUGGCGAAGGCGACUCACUGGUCCGGUACUGACGCUGAGGUGCGAAAGCGUGGGGAGCAAACAGG
rnacentral:rRNA from 1 species